CAGUCGCCGCGGGAAUACGUAGGUCCCGAGCGUUGUCCGGAUUUAUUGGGCGUAAAGCGAGCGCAGGCGGUUAGAUAAGUCUGAAGUUAAAGGCUGUGGCUUAACCAUAGUACGCUUUGGAAACUGUUUAACUUGAGUGCAAGAGGGGAGAGUGGAAUUCCAUGUGUAGCGGUGAAAUGCGUAGAUAUAUGGAGGAACACCAGUGGCGAAGGCGACUCUCUGGUCUGUAACUGACGCUGAGGAGCGGAAGCGUGGGGAGCGAACAGGAUUAGAUACCCGAGUAGUCCCUGUCUCUUAUACA
rnacentral:rRNA from 1 species